rnacentral:rRNA from 1 species
GGUAUCCGGAGGUGUGAUCUUGUGGCUGUAGCCUCCUGGUACACAUGGUGGGAACGGAGGAAGUUCACAAGAGGUGAGGCGCUGCAAGCACCGGUCAGAUCAGCUCAAGCCAUCUCGGUGCUGGCUUUAAACUUUGCUCGAGUGAAGAAACUCAGAACUGCCAAAGUGAUCAGACAUGGCUGGACUAAACCAUCAGAGGGAUUUGUCAAAUUAAAUGUUGAUGCUGCUUUUAAUGAGGAAACAGGUACAUGGCGAACAGGGGCAAUUAUUCGUGAUUAUACAGGAGAUCCAAUUGCCGGGGGUAGCUCAUGUAUGUCAUUCAUUGAUACACCGGCGACCGCUGAAGCGUGUGCACUUCGUGAUGGUUUGAUCAUUGCAGGUAAUGUAGGAUGCAACAAACUCCUAGUCGAAAGUGAUUGUAUGGAAGUAGUGGAAGUCAUGCAAAAUGGCGACAAUUCUCUAGGUGUGGCGGCAGCCAUUUAUGAAGAAUGUACUUUUCUAUGCCGAAAUUUU